rnacentral:tRNA from 1 species
ACCAGGGUGGUCAAACGGUUAACGACGGCGGCCUCUGACUCCGCAAGCGCAGGUUCGACUCCUGCCCCUGGUU